AAUCUUGUAGCUCAAUUGGAUAGAGCAUUGGUUUACGACACCAAAGGUUGAAGGUUCGAACCCUUCUAAGAUUA
rnacentral:tRNA from 1 species